UACGUAGGGUGCAAGCGUUGUCCGGAUUUAUUGGGCGUAAAGAGCGUGUAGGCGGCCAGAUAGGUCUGGUGUGAAAACUCGAGGCUCAACCUCGAGAGGUCACUGGAAACCAUUUGGCUAGAGUCCGGAAGAGGAGAGUGGAAUUCCUGGUGUAGCGGUGAAAUGCGCAGAUAUCAGGAAGAACACCUAUGGCGAAGGCAGCUCUCUGGGACGGUACUGACGCUGAGACGCGAAAGCGUGGGGAGCAAACAGG
rnacentral:rRNA from 1 species